AUAAAUUGUUCAACUACUCAGACUAAUCUGAGGUGACAGCUGUCUAACACUUCUGGAAAGGAGUCUCUGAGGAAGCCCAGGUCCCAUGGGCCUGAGCAAAAACUGCUCAGUGUUUCUGAGGCUUAGGCGCUGGCAUUCCUUGUAUCUGCCUCUGUCAGGAAAUUUUUAUCAAGCUCUGAAGCAGUGCAGUGAGUAGCCUGCCUGCGUCAGCAGUGGGUCAUUUUGGGAGUUGUAACUUGAUACAAUUCUCUGACCAAGGAAGAAUGUGGUCCCUUCCCAGGGCAGUGUUUCUGGAUGAGCUUUUUACACUGUAAAUUCCUAUACAGGUCAGGAAUAAUUAUUAUUUUUCUGGGCAGUCACACCCUUCUACCCCGGUCAGACCAAGCUCCUCAUGACCCCUGGGUAUGUUAGUACGUGUAUCCAAUAAUCCUUUCUCUCCUACUGAGUAUCCAGGCAAAAAUUGAAUUUUUCACCUGAAGAUUGUCAAAAUCCUGAAAACUCAGGAGCCAAUUCAAGGGAACAAGUGUCUUCACAAUAGACAGAAUCAACAGUUAAAUGUAAUAAUGGCAAACUCUUCUACCAGGCAACAGACAGAUCUGCUUGUUAGAUGGCAAUUCCUCAACCCUGCUCUGUGACCUCGUUUCUGCAGAAUGAAGGCAGCAGCUUCCAGCUGAUUGUGGUGAAUGUUCAUCAAUCAUGGUAAUAGUGCAAUUAGGUUCAAGCUGCAUAAUAUGUGUUAUGGCAACUUGUCCCCAGUUUUCAUUUCGCUUAACAUUCCAAAUAAAAGGAGAUUUAAAAAAACCUCUUGACCUCUAAAAAUGCAAAAGUAGGCCCAAAGUGCAAUACCGUAUCGUAGCUAUUUACAGGAUCUGGUUUAAAUGCAUGUGUAUCUGUAAAUACAAAGUGAUUGGUGAC
rnacentral:lncRNA from 1 species